rnacentral:rRNA from 1 species
AUUGAACGCUGGCGGCAGGCCUAACACAUGCAAGUCGAGCGAGCGGCGGACGGGUGAGUACUGUAGGGGGACUGCCCGAUAGAGGGGGAUAACUACUGGAAACGGUAGGUAAUCCCGCAUACUAUCGGCUUCUCCCUAUGGGAUUUGCUAGUAGGUGGGGUAAUGUCUCACCUAGGCGACGAUCCCUAGCUGGUCUGAGAGGUUGAUCAGCCACACUGGGACUGAGACACGGCCCAGCUCCUACGUGAGGCAGCAGUGGGGAAUAUUGGACAAUGGGCGUAAGCCUGAUUGAGCCAUGCCGCGGGUAUGAAGAAGGCCCUAGGGUUGUAAAGUACUUUCAGUCGGGAGGCGUUACCGACAGAAGAAGCACCGGCUAACUCCGUGCCAGCAGCCGCGGUAAUAC